AGAGGCAGCAAGAGCUACACAGCAAUAGACUGCUUCACCUACUCCUGUGAGCACUGGGUUCUCAGAUCCGCCAUCUUUUCCAAGGAGCCCUCUAGUCCGGCGUCUUAUCCCAUGGAUGUAACACAACUUCCUUCAGAACAUAAGCCCAUGAAAGCAGGGCCUUUGCUGGUCUUGUUCACUGGUGAAUCUCAGGAACCCAGAACAAUACCUGGCCUGAGUAGGACCUGGAGCACAAUCAAUGCUGCACAGGUUAAUGCCAUCAUCAGCUUCCACCCUCAUGGAGAGGUAGAAUAGUAUCAGACAACUUACUUUCAAAUCCCAGCUCUACUGCUACGUAGCUUUGUGCUAGGUGCCGUCCUCAUGCUGUGUCCUCAGCUGGAAUACUCUCCCCUCUGCCUUCUCCUGGCUACAUGUGCUCAUCCAUUAAAUCUCUGUGGACAUGCCACUUCCUCCAGGAAGCCCUUCCUGACCCUACCAGUCUGGAUGAUGGGUUUCCUUGCUUCUGGUUGGAAAUUCAGCUACUGCUAUAUUAUUGGAAAACAGAUUUCUGUAAAAGAUGAUAAAGUGAAGCGCUUACGGGAAAAACAAGAUUUCCCCCUGUCAUGCCACCAGGGGCUCCCAGGCAGCGCCCCCACCUCUCCUCCACAGCCAGUAGCUGCCCUGAGAAACUUCUAGGAGGUGAAACUAACACGCAGCGGGAGGGGCUGACCUGUUCCGGAUGGGGUAGGCUGGAACCACCUCGUGCUGUGGAAGGCUGAGGUUUGGUGGCCAUUUCCUAGCCUUAGGUUAAAUCCUGUCUUAGAUUAGGGUAUGGUGAAGACUCCCCUCAGAGGAAUUCCUCUCACUCUCAUGCCAACACACCCAGCAUAUGGUGAUACCAACCGGACCGUGAGCAGUGUGGGGUUCCGUGCGCUGCGCUCCGUGCUCAGCAGAUUCUUGCUCUUGCCUGGUCCUCUCCCUCCUUUCCCACUGGGAAAGCCAUCGAAAUUCACCCAAGGGAGCCCAAGAAAGGGCAAAAGAGCCUCUUAAGCUGCAGCCGUGAGGACACUGAGGAAUCAGAACAUGUCUGGAUUAAAGGUGCUCUUUCUGAGAACAGAC
rnacentral:lncRNA from 1 species